AAUGAACGCUGGCGGCGUGCAUAACACAUGCAAGUCGAACGAGAAAGCCCGGCUUGCCGGGUGAGUAAAGUGGCGAACGGGUGAGUAGCGCGUGGGUAACCUGCCCUUGAAUCCGGAAUAACUUCGCGAAAGCGAGGCUAAUACCGGAUAUUGUCCCAGGGACUGUGGUCCUUGUGAUGAAAGAUGACCUCUUCACGAAAGUUGUCGUUCAGGGAGGGGCCCGCGUACCAUUAGCUAGUUGGUAGGGUAAUGGCCUACCAAGGCGAUGAUGGUUAGCUGGUCUGAGAGGAUGACCAGCCACACUGGCACUGAAACACGGGCCAGACUCCUACGGGAGGCUG
rnacentral:rRNA from 1 species